UCGGAAGGUGCGGCUGGAUCACCUCCUUUCUAAGGAAUUAGGAUUCCCGACGAGGGCCAAGCCCUCAUCACCGGGAUUCAAUCCUAGGUCGAUCCGUUCAGUCUCCAUUGGUGGAAACUCGACACCCUCCUGUUGUCACUCAACGAGCCAUCCAGACAAACCAGCGUAUUGCACAUCCGAGGAAGGAACUUCUCUCGCAAGGGGAAUUCUCUCCUCGGUUUUCUGGGUUCCGGCUUUGCGUCCCCUUUCGUCAGAAGGGGGCCGUAUUGGCGGCGGCGACCUCCUCCGAGUAAGCCGCAUGCCUCUUAAAAUGAGCGCAGUCGCCCGCACUUUGACAGCUAAAUAAUGUAAAGACUUCCGCGAUCACUUCUCCAGAAGUGGUCGCGACGGGUAUUGCAUGGCACGCAAGUGCAUCAACGAGUUUAAGAGUCGUCGAGAGGUAGACGCGGCUUGCCGCUUCUAUCUUUCUCAAGAAUUCUCUGAGUCUCUUUCGGUGUAUCAAGUUAGUAAGGGCGUGC
rnacentral:misc_RNA from 1 species